rnacentral:misc_RNA from 1 species
AAAAAUACUGCCUGUGAUAAAUAGUGAAACAUUCAAAAUAUGAUUACAGAGAGGGAGAGAGAGCAACUGGAUAGGGAGAGAGAUGGGUGUAUAACUAUAAUAGCCAUUGAUAAAACUGUGGGAUACAAUCGCAACAGUCAAAAUUCAUCCCCUAGAAAUUUGCACUCGUCACAAUUCUAAUGGUUUAAUACAAUCAUCAAAAGCUACUGCUGCUUCUAGAAUUAGUUCCAAGAAUCAGUUACAAUCUUUAUUGAACCACAGUAGCUCUACUUUUGGUUCUCUGCUAAACUCCCAUCUGAACCAUAUCAUUCAAGACACGAAUCUGCUAUAGCUUUCUAAUAAGAUGGUCGAAGCCUUUAUAAAAAAACUUGCAAAUAUGGCAAUAUGUAGAGCAGUUCUUUAUUUACCCCUCACUUUAACUGUAAGAGUCCAGUUAACCUUCCCCUCUAGCAAAGGGAUAGACUUUGGCAAGCGUAGUUGAACUUCAUGUUCCCCAAAAGUGGUCAAAGGUGAUGGAAGAUGAAUAUUAUCCCGCUCAAUUAGCACAUUAAGCUGCCUUGCCACCUGAAAAAUAUACAGUAACCCUAUCAGAAUUAAGAACUACAAACAAAAUAAUAAGAAUGAUUUUCAUUAACAGAAUUAUUAGUCUCCAAGCCUAAUCCCAAAUUUGCAUAGACCUGCACCUGCACAAACCGAGUAUGAUGAAUAACCAACAUAGACACCCCCAUGAAACUGAACACAAACUUCACUAGAAAAUCUCUAAAUCUUAGAAGUUAUAGCUCAAGACUCUACAAGCAUCUCAUUUGUGACCAAGAGGCAUAUGUUGCAGUUACAAAGUUGAAACCAAAAAAAUAAUGUUGUGCCUUAGUAUUUGCGUGAUGAUUGAUUGGCACAAAUAAUCAUCUAGAGAUCAUUUUUUUCCUAAAUCCAGGCCCAGAACAGUAGUAGCUCUUGGCAGAAGCCUUCAUAUGGAAAUUGUUUAUAUAGCCAAUUGCCAGCAGAAGAACUAUCUCCCACUCCACCUUGGCAAACACAACCAUGUCAGUUUUCCAGUCAAAGAAUAUGCAGGUGAAAGCCAUCUUUUCAGUGUAUUAAGCAUAUGGCCAUAUGACACUGUUCUAACUUGUUUCACCAACAUGAAGUCGUGGAAUGUGAAUGUGUUGCAUAUAACCUCCAUAAACAACUGGUGCUUACUUACAAAAGCCUCUUUCAAUAUUCCUUUUUACAAUUUCCAUGCAUAAUAAAAAAAAAAUGACACCAUCAUUAAUAAAAUUUUACAGUGAAAUAGAUAUAAAAAAUGAAUAAAAAUUGAAGAAUGCUAUACCUCCUUCACAAUGUCAUCCUCUGUUACUGGUGAACGAAUUUCAAUGGCCUCAUCUUUCGAGGCACGAGCACGGAAUUUUUCGGUAUUGAUGCUUGCCCUAAUUGUCUAUAAGGCACCAUGUAACUAACAAUUGAUUCAUAGCCACAGUAGAAUAGAUCUAAUGCAUCACGGUAUUCAAGAAUAAAAUCACUGAGAAAGAAUUCAAUUAAGAACUUCAAAGAUAAGCUACAUACCAGCUUGGCAUUAGUUAAACGCUUUGCUGCCGUUUCAUAUUCUUUCAUCUUAUCUUCCACAGUCUCUUUAACUACUUUAACUUCUUCUUCUUCCUCACGUUGGUAAAUCUUGCGCUGCUCCUUGAUAAGAUGAGCAAACUUGUCAAUAUUAGGAACAGCAAGCAAUUUGGGCAUGAGGUGGUUGCGAAAAUGCCCAGGAGCAACCUUAACUGUCUUACCAGCUUUCCCAAGCUUUUCUAUGUUCUUGAAAGCAAGUGAUAGCCCUGAACCGAAACCUUCAGAGACAAUUAACAAGAAUUUAAAUAUUGAAGCAAUUUGGAUGUAUACAUUAUGAUUUUGAUGCUGGAAGAGAAGAGAAGAAUACGAAAUGGAGAUUCUGCAAGGAAAAUGUGGUAGAAGGAGUGGAAGGGCGCGCCGGAGGGGGGGGUUGGUGGUGGUGGUCGUGCGUCUAACGUUAGUGAGAGGGGGCAAGGUGGUGGCCGAGAGGUGCUGCCAUAGGCGGUGGUGAUCGUAACGGGUAUUGUCUAGCGGUUAAGAGGUGCUUAUGGUGGCGGCGGAUAGAGUAAACUGCACCGGUGCGAGGUCGAGUAGUGCGGGAUGGAUGGGAUUUUAUGGGUCUG